rnacentral:lncRNA from 1 species
UUUGGAAGAAAGAUAUUAAUUAUUACUUUGAUUCAAAAAAUUCCUUCAGGUGAAAAGAAAGUGCAAUUUUAAAAUAAGAAGUUAGAUGUGAGAUGCCUGGAGUUUUAGAAUAAAACCAAAUCAGUAUUUUAAACUAUUAUUUGAAAGUUUUCUUUCUUACAUUAUUGACCUGAGCAAGUAAAAAAUAAUCAAAUUAUUUUACUCUUCCCCCUUCUCUCUUUUUUGGCGGCCACCUCUGUCACUAGGUCUUCUCUUUCUAUCUGCUUCACUGUUCUUUGGGUUUUGAAUGCAACAGUGAAUUUCUGUAAUCUAGGUUUCUUCUCCAAGCCUCCCAGAGUAUAAAUUGUUAUUCAAGGAGUUUGACUGCAGCUCUGCAGAAACAGCCCUGAACUCGGUAUCACUGGGACAAAGGCAGAGAGGGGCUCUUUCUGCUCUGACCUGCUGGCUGACAGUUGGAAUUUUUGAUAUAUAUUUUAUUUGGCAUUUCCAAUAAUGCGUUUGCCUCUCCCUCCCCACCCCCUUGCAGCCAUCUAUUACUUUAAAAACAUAUCUUCUCUAUAAACCUCAGCUCAUCCCUGUGAACUGUUCUUGACCUUUCCAUCGGUGAAACCAGCAGCUCUGAAAGUUGCUCUAGGAAGAAUUCCAUUUGCUUCCUUACCUGUUAACUUUGCUCACUCUCUUCCUAGUUGGGGUCAAGAGAGGGAGGGGGAUUUUUUGUUUAUUUUUGGAUUUUGGUCCCUUUGCCACUUAGGCAUUUUACCGUGUCGCUCCCCCCCCCCAAUUAAUGACAACAAAGCACCCCACAAUUUAUCUUCUUAAAUAAGACGGAGUAGAAUCAUUGUUUUUUCCCCUGUUUGCUCUCUCUUUUUUCUUAUUUCUCCCAAUUUUAGCCGCUUCACAAUCUCGCGGUAGGAGAGUAUUUCAAUAAAUAGCCCUCUAGCGCUAUCUGGCGGGGCUCCAAGCGCGACGUGCGCCCGCUCUGUCUCUGGCUCCUUCCCGCGCUCUCUUCGUCCUCUUCUUCUUCCUCUCUCCUUCUAUUUCUCUGGUCUCUUCCUCAGUCUUGAUGCUAUUCCCCUUUUCCCUCUCGUCCUGCCGCCGCUUUCUAGCUCCCACCAUUUGCAGCUCAGACGACUGGAACGACCCGGUCAGAGGCUGAUACCCUCGGAACCAGGUGAUGCUCCGGCGAGGGAGCUCUUCUAGGACUCCUACCUUCACCCACUGUGGGUCCCACACGUCCUUUGCCUUUGAUUCACAUCCUACUGUGGCUUCACACUGUUGCUUAAGCCUCAGCGUCUCAGCCGGCGGUGGAUUGGAGGGGCUUAAACUGCACUUGUGAAGUUAGGAGGAAAGAAAUCAGACACUAGAAUCCCGGCUAGUGGAGUCCGGCUAAGUUUUAGGUCAGGAGGCCAAGUUUGAGGAAGAGUCGGGGCUUCGCAGGGGUGGGGACAGCACUUCGGGAAAGGGCUAGAGUGGGGGCGCCUGACGCCCCACCCAUCACCCCCUGCCCGCUGAAUUUUUACAGCACUGUGGACUGCUAGAGUUUGUAUCCUGGGCCUGUCCAGAAUUUUUUUUAAAUUAAAUUAGCUUUAUCCUCCCACUCCACACCACCACACCAAAUCUGGAUACGAGUGGGGGGAAAAAGGGAGAGUAGGAAAGCUCACUGGAAACCCCACAGGGCAAAGAAGAAAAAGCCUCAGAGACUGCGGGAACUCGCUUGAGGAUGUGGUACUCACCAGCAUCUCCUUUCUGGAAGAGAUUUGUCUUCUUUCUUACUUGUGGCUUUUUUUCACAGUAACCUGUACACCCUCAGCGGUGUGUGGGGAGCGGUCAGAGAGGAUGGGGCGGAAGGAGAGAUUCAACUCCAAUAGGGUGCUUUAGAUUAGAAUUUUCUCUCUCUCUCUCUCUCUCUCUCUCUCUCUCUCACACACACACACACACACACACACACACACUGAGCCUUAGAGAAAUCUCCAGCCCUCCCUUUGAACAAGUCUCUUCCAUCUAGUCCUUGAAACAAAGGAAAGGAUGGGGGAUAUGGCCUGGGGGACAGUUAGACUCUCUCAACUUCAUGACUGAAUUUCCUAAAUUUAGUUUUGACCUUGCAAAGGAAGAGUGAAGACCCCAAUACAGACCCAGUCAGUGGCUACUUGAAGUGACAGGGCCUCAGCUUGCAGUGUAUGUGAUCACACAAAGACCUUUUCCCAACUCUGAAAUCCUCCCUCCAUAAUCUCAAAAAUACAAUAGAAAGAAGGGUAGAGGAUGACACAAUCAUAGGUUCUGUCCCUCAAGACUUGCCCCCUCCCACUCCCAUGCUGAAGGAAGAAAGCACAGUUUGGGUGUAAUUAAUUGAAUAUUGUUAUUAGGUCAUCAUUAGCCAAGGUGCAAAUAAUUGCAGCCCAUUUUUACUUAAAAUUGACCAGCCCCAGAGUGAUAGAUCGAUUUGGAGUAUAAAAAUGAUGUAUCAAAACAUCAAUGUCGAUUAUUUGAAAUAUUGUAGUCGAAUUUUUUUAUUGCUUCAUCGGUUAAGUGUCUGAAAGUGCAGUGUUCAAACAUAUAUUUAUGUUGUCAAUACUGUCAGAACUGUCAGUUUUACUAUACUGGAUUUGUACUACAUUUCGAAUUUACUCAUUUACAUAAAAUGCCCACUCUAGGAUUCCCCCACCCCCAUCCCAUCUCUCUCUUUCCUCCCAUCUCUGGAAGAUCCGUGUCAGUUGCUUCAAAGGAUUCAACAGUCUUUGCCUCAGCUAAAGUGUGCACUGCCUCUUUUACUCAAUUUUAUACAUCAGAUUACAUGUCUUUUUCACAAUUUCUGACUUUCAAAGGGAACCUUCCUCUUUUCUUUUCCAACUCUGUCUACUUCACCUCUUUCUCUGUAACAGUAUUGUAGUACUUGGAAAGCUUCAGGUUUAAAUAGCCACAUCUCAGCUCCAAAUAAACAUUUAGGUAGGGAAAAAAACCAACAACAACAACAAAAAACGACUUCACUGUACCUCCUUGGCUGCACUCUUGUAAACUAGGCUUCGCUGGGGGACACGAUCUCACACGUAAUAGGGUCUAUCAUCAAAUUACCGGGAGGAUUCAGAUCUUCCUAGGAAAACGAAUUUGGAAAUAUAAACACUUUUCCUUUCUUUUUACUUAAAAGCCGUGAAAGGAGAAAAAGAAACAAUACAUAGAAAUGAUCGGCACAUUUUACCUUUAAAAGCUUUUGAACUCCAUCAAAAGAUACAAGUUGGAAGCAGAAUUGACAGUUUUAAUUCUACCCGUUUUCACCUGGCACGUCAGAUCAGAGGCAAUCAUUUAUUUUAUUGGGGGUAGAUGGGAAAGUCAGAUAGAAAGCUUGAAUCCACUGAAGUUUCUGUCCUAAAAAAUCACGGGAGAAACUAAAGACGUUUAUUGAAAGGCAAACAUUCCACUGCUACGCACUUUCUGUCUAGACUAAUUGAUAUUUAUACAUUCACAUUCUGCCUAAUUUUAUGCUUUUAAUUUUGUUUUCUAGGAUUCCCUCCAAGACUGAUAGGAAAGACAGGGCCACUUCUGGACUAUCUGUGAGGAUGUAUUUCUUUCUAUAACACUGAAGCACUUUUUAUAAACCUUUUUAUGUAUUUAAGUAAAUCUAUUUGGACACAAAGAAAAGCUAUACAUACGAAGAUAGCUUGGCUUUAUGCCGGCAAUCUCAGCAUUGGGGAAAAAAAUCACAAUCCAACUGAAAAGCUUUACCAUACCCAAUCUUGGGGCGGGGGGGGGGGG